rnacentral:misc_RNA from 1 species
GUCAACUUUUUGCUCACUUCGCUCACCCCCCCACCCCCCAGAAAAAGCUGAAAUGACGCCCCUACAUUGAGGUCACGAAUACCUAGAAACAGUAUCUACGCAUCUACCAAUUAACAACGUCUAUUUUUAACUACCAAACGGAGUUACCGGCCACGAAUAAUCCAUUUGCGUCGUUUUUUCUGUGUAAUUAUCAGAAGAGACCUUAGGAUAGCUCACUGAAACAAAAUAAUCUUCUGAAGUCAAGAAAAUACAUUUGGAUCUGUGUGUUGAAGCUGUGUACCUCUUGAGUAAUUAGGCCCACAACCAUUUUGAAAUACUGAGACCAUGAGGAAGUUCGGCAGAAGCAUCAUUGUCCUGAUAUUUUUUGCUGUGUACAUCAGCAUAACAAAUGGGGAAAUUGCUACAAAAUGCAAAUAUUCCACUGAUUGUCGAGUUGAAGAAAUCUGUAUUAACGACCACUGUCAAUGCCCACACAUUGAAUAUUCAAAGAGACAUUACUCAAUGUGUAGUCCUGUGAAUGAAUAUGAUAUAUGCCGAUUUAUUACCUAUUGCGGAAGAAACUCUAAGUGUAUUAACCAUCGGUGUGUGUGUGAUGAGGGCUACUACUGGGUAACCUCUGCCUGUCGUAAAGUGCAGGUACAGCCAGUGAUGGGACCCUGCAGAGAAACAAGUCUGGCACUAUGGUCAACUCAGGCAAUAUGGUUGUGUGAUGACAGAAAACAUUCUGUAUGCAUAAAUAAGAUCUGUGUUUGUGUAAAGGGUUACGUCCCAAACUCGGAUGGAUUGUGCAAGCCACAGGAAUCAUACAUGAAGAACUAUAGUCUCUCUGAAUAUCGUGUCAAACCUGGAGAAUACUGCAGAGAUUCUGCAAAUUGUAUUGAAGGACUAGAGUGUGAGGAAUUUAAAUGCAGGUGUCCCACUGAUUGUAGUUAUGACCAAAGAAAAGAAGCUUGUGACUGUGGGAAGGUUGACUUGGAGAUGGGACCAGUUCUUCUUGGGGGUUUUCUUGGUUUGCUUGUCAUUUUAUUCUGGUGCCGUAGAAUCAAGAGAACCAUAAGGAAACACAAGGAAAUGAUGAGACCAACAGAUAAUAACGAGUAUGUGCCACCUUCAUAUGCACUCUCCCCUGUCCAUUCUUCCAUCCAAACUGAAACAUCGGUUGAUGGAACUGCAUCACCUGCCAGCAGAACAGCUGGCACUCCUAUUCCAGAAGACACUGGCACCUCUGCAACCUCUUACUUAAAUCCCCCAAGAGCACCAAACAAUCCUUUAAAGCCUGAAUCAGAUAAGCCCCCAUCAUAUAUGGAAAUGAUUUCCUCACCCCCUCCAUCAUAUAUAGAAGUUAUUUCUUCACCCCUGUAUAACCCUGAUCCAAGAAGCCAGCCUCUCACCUUCAUACCAAAUGCUCCAUAUCCUCAUGGCUACAUCCCCUUGUCUAGUAGCACUCAGCAGUCCUCUAGUCCAUCUCACUCUCUUUCAGGAAGACCACAUUCCCGUAGUUCCUCACCUGUACCAGAUAACAGUAGUCCCUCAGCAACAACAUAUCCCAUGAAUCCCUCAGCAGCACCACAUCCUGGUAGCCUUAAUGCAGUGCUACAACCAGAUAAUUCUUCUGCCCCAGCUGGUGCUACCAGUUCUUCGUCUCCAUCGCAUUCUGUUCCUGAAGCACCACCAGCAUACAAUCCAUACUUUAAGAAUGACAAUGCUCCAGUUCCUUAGCAACACCACAUCCUGGUAGUCAUGAUGCACCACUGUAUCCUGGUAUUCCUGAUGCAAUGCUACACCCAGUUAAUUCUUCUGCCCCUGCUGGUGCUACCAGUUCUUCGUCUCCAUUGCACUCUGUUCCUGAAGCACCACCAGCAUACAGUCCAUACUUUAAGAAGGACAAUGCUCCAGGUACCUCUGACAAUGACAGUAAAUUGAAGUACUAAGCUACUAAGUUUUGACCUAAGUAUAAGGCAAACCUUUCUGCAGUGGCAAGCUUGCAGCAAAGAACUAGUACAAGACCAUCAUCAUAAAUUCAUGAUGAUCCAAUAUUUCUCCAUUCUUGACCUGUUGAUACCAGAAGUGCAUGUAUAUGUGCACUAUACAGUAAGUGCAUGUAUCAGGCAUCAUUGGGUUGAUUCAUAACCAUGUGUUGUUUUAAGGCAGUAGAUUAAGGUGCAGAUUUUAUUUUUAGUUGGAUUGAUUAAUUUUUACUUGUUAUUCCUUCCAGUAAUUUUUCGCCCCAUACUUUUCAUUUCAGUAAUUGCAAAAUUAAAGGGGCAAAAAAAGUAAAAUCUCCAGAAACAUAUUAAGAUUUAGUUCAUGUGAAUACUAGAUAGUCUGUCUAUUAUUGGAGUUGUUAUUUGAUUAUUUUGUGAUAGUGUUAGGGAUGAUAUAAAGCCUGAUGCUGUAGAUGCCACUACUAAAAUUACCCAUCAUCUGGCUGUAGCACAGCUUUCAAGGGGAAAAAGAAAAAGGAAAAUUACUCUAGAAUUAAGGUGAGGAGAAUUGCUUUGGAUGGCAAUAUUUUUUGGGGGGGAAAAAAUAAAAAUUAAUGUGCAAAGUUUUCCAAAUUUUUUAACUCCAGAGUUUCAAUUCAGAGGUUGUUAUGAUGAAUUCCGGUAGAAAUCUAAUUAUCCAUGUUAAAUGAUACAGUAUGAGUGAUCUUAAGUGUUUGUUAUGGCUGUGGGAGUAAAGUGGAGGGGGGAGGGGGGAUACUGUAAUCAAUUUUUUUAUGUCCUGUAACUUGUUUAAGGCUUUUUUGCAGCCUGCAUUAUAAUUUCAUUGAUGAGAAAACAUUGUGGCACAGAGCUGUCAAACACAUACUUUGUCCCUUACAUUUAUGUGGAAAUUGUGUGUGUUUGCAACAUUAUUAUGCUGAGAGCAAGGCAUGAGGAAAUAUGGGAGUACAUAUUUCAAAACCUACUUUAUAUGAAAAAAGUAAUAGAAGAGUAAAUCUGUGCUAUGUUGUUGGCACCCCAGUGAAGGCAGACUGAAUAGAAUUAAAAUAUAUUAGGAAGAUGUUAGAAAAAUAUGUACUUAUGUGAUGCCAGAUGUUGGUAUUUUAUUAUUUUUUAUAACCAUGUUUUUAGUAUUCCCUUGAGGGAGAUAGUAGCAGAAAUGCAGAUCUGUUGAGAAAUUAUACCUCAACAGGUAUUUAUGGGCCCAGCUAUCCUUAAAGGUAAACACAGAGAUUUAUAAACAACUGUUUUUAUGCUUUUGUUGUUAGUAUGUUAUUACAAAAUCCAUAUCAAACCAAAAUUGUAAUCUUUGAUUCAUUACUUAAAUGAAUUAGGACUGAAACCUUUGAAUUAUGCAGUUUGAUGCAGGUCUUUGAAGGGGAGGGUAGCUGGAACCAUACUGUUUUUUUUAUUACAAAUCAUAUAUAUAUAUGCUUAAUCUUGAUGGUCAGCACAAAGAUUCAUAAACUUAAUUGUUUUUAUUAGUAUCUGUUGUCAUGUAAUGCAGGAUUUGUAGCUAAGCUACAACAUAAUCUUUAUAAUAUGACAAAUUAAUUAUUGCCAAAACUUAGAAACAAGUUUAACAACCAAAUGAGAUGACAGACCUAACUCAUUAGUGCCUUCUGUGUAUCAAGUAAUCUAAAUCAGAUAUUCCUAUAAAUGUAUAACUCUAGAUUAACUUAGUUAGAAGCAGAUGAUAAUUGAAAAAUUCUCAUAACAUUACCCGAAAUUUCUGUAGAUAAAUAUCUUUAAAUGCUUCCACUUAGUAAAUAUGAUACAAAUGAUUUGUUUCUUUUUGCAAGAAGGAAGAACACUUUCAUGGUAUUUAGCUUGUUAUGAAACUACAUCUCGUGUUUGAUAGGUAUUCUUCAGAACGCCCAGGUGGUUAUAAUUUGGAGGAUGCCAAAAGGACAAUCUACAGUUAUUUGACAAGUUAUCUUGACAGAACAUCACUUGGCAUGAUAAAACAUGAAGCUAGAGGAGACGGUGUGAAAGCUUUGGCAGUGCUAUGAAAGUAUUACAUGAGAGAAACAAACCACAGGUUGUAUGCUUUAUGGCGGUCAUUAAACAAAAGACUUAAAGAUGGCAGUGUUACAGAGUAUCUAUCGUCCUUGGAAGAGAUAGCAGCAGCACUAAGAGAAUCAGGUGAGUGUUAGUGAUUGUCUCUUAGUGACAAGUACACUGAAAGGACCUUCCACCGAAGCACAAGAAUUUUGUAGAUGUGCCUAAUCACGCAACCCUCUAUAUGAUUACAUUGAAUUAACGACAGCCUUAUUGGGUCAUGAAGAUCACCUCAGAGAAAAUUCUGAUACAGAAAGAGUAAUGGUUGUCCAUGGUAAUAGUGCAAUUAAACAGAUGCUUCAAGUGUGGUAAACCAGGCCAUUUUGCAUCAAAAUGCUAUAAAGGUGGUGUGUUUAAAUGAGGAAACAAACCUCAGAAUAGUAAGAAAUGGUGUGAAUUUCAUCAGUCAGGAACUCACAGUACUAGUGAAUGUAGGAAGAGUAAUAACUUAGUCUGCAAAUGACACAACCGAAGAACAAAAUUAUGAAUACUCUUUCUUUGUAACACACUCAUCAAGGUUACGACCUGUUGAAGGUACCUCAGAGUUAUGUGACAUUGGAAAACAAUAUAUCAAACUUAGAAGCAGAUGAAAGUUUACUCAUGAUUGACUGUGGUUUCAAGAGUUCAUAUCCACAAAACCAUUACAAAAAGUUGCAGAUGGCCAAAGGCAGCAAGGAACUGUACAGGGAGUUGGUGAUGUCAAAGACUUUAUCCAGGAUUGAGAUAGCAACUCAAAAAGGAUUGUGUUAAAAGAUGCACCAAUGCAUACCAGGAUUUAAGCAAGACAUCUUGUCAGUAUGGAAAGCCAUGAAGAGUGGACACAGCAUUACUUUUUCACCUAAUGGCAGCUCACUAACUACCAAGGAUGGCAGGAUAUUCAACAAUGUAGAAAAAAAACAAAUUGUUCUACUUUUAUAAAGGUAAGCUACACAAAAACUCAAAUGGAUGAUCUCAACAACAUUUAGGAGAAGCAAAGCACACCCUAGAGGAAUGGCAUAAAAUCCUAGGGCACUGCAAUGUGGCUGAUGUGCAAAAACUUGAAGCAACUGUUGAUGGAAUGCAUAUUUUGAGUAAAGAGAAGUUAAGCUGCACCAUGUGAUGAUGACACAGUAUAGAAAUAGAGAGCCAGACAAAAUUGCUAAACAGCCUUUAGUACAUUGUAAUGUAAUAGGAUCUGUUGUUCCAGCAGCUAAUGGAGGUUACAGGUACAGUAUCUCUUUCACAGAUGACUACUCAGGAACUCUAAGAAUCUCCCUCAUUAAGAAUAAGAGUGAUACAGUGCAUGCUAUGGAGAAAUAUUUAGCAGAAACAUCACCAUAUGGCAAUAUAAAAAUGACCAUGGAACAGAAUUUACAAAUUAGGAAUUCAGAACACAAGUUUGCAGCACCCUACUCUCUACAUCAAAGUGGAAUUGUUGAGAGAUCACACAAAUACAUUUUUUACACGUCUUGAUGUUUACUGAUUGAGUCCAAAUUACCCAAAGAUAUGUGGGGUUAUGCUGUGAAGGCUGCUUGUUACAUCAGGAAUGGGUGCUAUAAUCCAAGAACUCUGAAUGGUAGAAAUGCUUACUGGAAAAUGGUCAAGCAUCAGCUGAAUGAAUAUUUUUUGAGUAAGAUGUUUUGCAUAUGAACAAGAGAAGAAGAAACAUGAUCCCAGGAGAAAGAAAGGAAUAUUUGUGAGCUGUGAUGACCAGAGCCCAGCCUACUUGAUUUACUUCCCAGAAUCUUAAACAGCAAAGAAAAUAAGAUCUAUUAAGUUCAUGGAAAACUUACCCAAUGUAGCUGAUUCACUGAAUGACGAGCAAACCUCAGAUGAAGAUGACAUCUUGGUGGAGACUAGACUUCAGCAAAAAUCGCAAGUGAAGAAAGAAGAUAUCCAACUCAAGAAAGACGAAAACCCUCAUGAUUAGAUGACUGCAUUACUAAUGAAUUGGACAACAAUAUCUCCAGUGUGACACAUAACAGCUUUAUACAUCAUUGCUACCAAGUGUCACAUAUCCCAGUACCAAGAAUUAUAAGGUUGCUAUUGUAUCUCCAGAGGGACCCCAGUGGAAGAAAGCAAUGGACGAGGAAAUCUCUUCACUUCAAGUCAACAACACCUAUGACCUUACUACACUGCCUGAGUCACAUACAGCAGUAGGUGGAAAAUGAGUCUUAUCAAUUAAAACCUGGACCAAACAGCAAAGAAAAAAAUAAAGCAUUGUACUUUGCCAAAAGAUAUUCACAGGUAAAAGACAUCAACUACGGAGAAACAUUUGCACCAACAGCAAGAAUGUCUAUAUUUUGUAUUUUGAAGAAAUACAUAUUCAUGUAUUUCUGACGAAGACAAAGUUGAAACCAGUCAAAUACAUCUCCUGUAUUGUGAAGAUAUUCAUUCUCAUUCAUACCUUUUAUAUAUUUGUCAACAUGAAUGCAGUUCAUUAUUUUGUAUUUUAUUUGAUGUGGCUGUACAGAAAAAUAUGGUAAUACAGCAAGUUGAUGUUAAAACAGCUUAUCUGACAGCUGAUAUUGAUCAUAAAAUUUAUGUAGAACAACCUGAAGGUCAUGAGGAAAAAGAUGAUGAUGGAAAUGUUUUGUAUUGUAAACUGGAAAAGUCACUUUAUGGUCUGAAACAAAGCAGCAGGAUGUAGAAUAGUGUAAUCCAUAAUUUCUUUAUUUCAGAAGUUUUCAAGCAAUCAUAGAGUGAUCAUUGUCUGUAUCUGAUGCAUGAUAAGUACAGUGAUAUUGUUGUGCUCUUAUGGGUGGAUGACUUAAUUAUUGCCAGCUGUAACAUGUCCCUGAAGAACAAAUGUACUUUGUACUAAGUACUUUGAAGGGGACCAUGGCAUAUGGUCUUACAUUUGGAAAGUCAGAUGAAAAAGUUCAACUCCAAGGAUUUUGUGAUUCUGACUAUGGAUCAUCUGAAAACAGAAAGAGCAUAUCAGGAUAUUGUUUUCAAUUAUUUAAAGAUGGACCACUUAUAUCAUGGAGAAGUAAGAAGUAACAGACAGUUGCACUUUCAUCUUGUGAAGCAGAGUAUAUGGUCAUUACUUAUGCCAUUCAGGGAAGCAAAGUUUCUAAGACAAUUGUAUAUGAUCUAUUAAGAUUUAAGUUAAAAUCUACAGACUUAGGAGUUGAUAACCAAGGUGCUAUUAGUCUUGCCAAAAAAUCCAGUAAAUCACCAAAGAUCAAAGCACAUUGAUGUUCAUUCCCAUUUCAUUGGAAAUAUAGUAGAGAAAGGUAAUGUAAAGUUAUUUCAUGAUCCUACACAGAACAAUCCAGCUUAUAUAUUUACAAAAUCUGUACACCAGAAGAAUUUGAAUCUUUAGGUGUAUCAGGGGAUAGAUUCUCAGAUCACAUACCCAUCUUUGAUUAAGAGGGGGUGUUAGAAUAAUCAAAGAUGGUUAUUAGUAGGGAUACUUUUAUUCCAUGUAUUUAUGAUAUAACUCAUAUUACCUAACCUACGUUUUAUAUAUAUCUGUAAUAUAAACAACCCUCUGUAGUGCCACAUAGAUCCCAUUCAAUACAUAGAGUAAGGUGCAACAA